rnacentral:rRNA from 1 species
GACGAACGCUGGCGGCGUGCUUAACACAUGCAAGUCGAACGAGGUCCAUCCAAUGGCAACAUUGGUGAAGAUCUAGUGGCGAACGGGUGAGUAACACGUGAGGAACCCACCCCGAUCUCA